rnacentral:snRNA from 1 species
AAACUUACCUGGCUGGGAGGAUCUCGCGAUCACGAAGGCGGGACCUCCAUGGUGAGGCUUGGCCAUUGCACUUCUCGGUCCGGCUGACCCGUGUGGCUAUCCCGAGUUGGGGUCAGCCAACAGCAAAAUUUUUGCGUUUGGGGACAGCGUUCGCGCUUCCCCGCU